AGUGAACGCUGGCGGUAGGCCUAACACAUGCAAGUCGAACGGCAGCACAGUAAGAGCUUGCUCUUACGGGUGGCGAGUGGCGGACGGGUGCGGAAUACAUCGGAAUCUACUUUUUCGUGGGGGCUAACGUAGGGAAACUUACGCUAAUACCGCAUACGACCUACGGGUGAAAGCAGGGGAUCUUCGGACCUUGCGCGAUUGUAUGAGCCGAUGUCGGCUUAGCUAGUUGGCGGGGUAAAGGCCCACCAAGGCGACGCUCCGUAGCUGGUCUGAGAGGAUGAUCAGCCACACUGGAACUGAGACACGGUCCAGACUCCUACGGGAGGCAGCAGUGGGGAAUAUUGGACAAUGGGCGCAAGCCUGAUCCAGCCAUACCGCGUAGGUGAAGAAGGCCUUCGGGUUGGAAAGCCCUUUUGUUGGGAAAGAAAAGCAGCAGGUUAAUACCCCGCUGUUCUGACGGUACCCAAAGAAUAAGCACCGGCUAACUUCGUG
rnacentral:rRNA from 1 species